GUCUCAGUUCAGAUUGUAGGCUGAAACUCGCCUAUAUGAAGUCGGAAUUGCUAGUAAUCGCGGAUCAGCAUGCCGCGGUGAAUACGUUCCCGGGCCUUGUACACACCGCCCGUCACACCAUGAGAGUCGAUAACACCCGAAGCCUGUAGUCUAACAGCAAUGAGGACGCAGUCGAAGGUGGGAUUGAUAAUUAGGGUGAAGUCGUAACAAGGUAUC
rnacentral:rRNA from 1 species